UGGGGAAUAUUGGACAAUGGGCGCAAGCCUGAUCCAGCCAUGCCGCGUGAGUGAUGAAGGCCUUAGGGUUGUAAAGCUCUUUUGUGUGGGAAGAUAAUGACUGUACCACAAGAAUAAGUCCCGGCUAACUUCGUGCCAGCAGCCGCGGUAAUACGAAGGGGACUAGCGUUGCUCGGAAUCACUGGGCGUAAAGGGCGCGUAGGCGGAUUAUUAAGUCAGAGGUGAAAGCCUGGAGCUCAACUCCAGAACUGCCUUUGAUACUGAUAAUCUUGAGUUCGAGAGAGGUGAGUGGAACUCCGAGUGUAGAGGUGAAAUUCGUAGAUAUUCGGAAGAACACCAGUGGCGAAGGCGGCUCACUGGCUCGAUACUGACGCUGAGGCGCGAAAGCGUGGGGAUCAAA
rnacentral:rRNA from 1 species